GGGUGUCGUUGGGUAACUGGUGUGCCCCCUGGUCUUCAAAACCUGUGCUGGACGUGAAAAAGCGCCCUGGGUGAGUUCGAUUCUCACAGGCACCCGCCA
rnacentral:tRNA from 1 species